ensembl:snRNA U6 U6 spliceosomal RNA
GUGCUCACUUCGGCAGCACAUAUACUAAAAUUGGAAGGAUACAGAGAAGAUCAGCAUGGCCCCUGAGCAAGGACGACAUUCAAAUUCAUGAAGUGUUCCAUAUUUUA